rnacentral:rRNA from 1 species
UACGUAGGGGCCAAGCGUUGUCCGGAUUUAUUGGGCGUAAAGAGCUCGUAGGCGGUUCGGCAAGUCGAACGUGAAAUCUCCACGCUCAACGUGGAGGGGUCGUUCGAUACUGCCGUGACUCGAGUCCGGUAGGGGAGUGUGGAAUUCCCGGUGUAGCGGUGAAAUGCGCAGAUAUCGGGAGGAACACCAAUGGCGAAAGCAGGUAACUGGACUAUUACUGACACUCAACUGCGAAAGCUAGGGGAGCAAACAGG